rnacentral:rRNA from 1 species
GACGAACGCUGGCGGCGUGCUUAACACAUGCGAGUCGAACGGAAAGGCCCUGCUUUUGUGGGGUGCUCGAGUGGCGAACGGGUGAGUAACACGUGAGUAACCUGCCCUUGACUUUGGGAUAACUUCAGGAAACUGGGGCUAAUACCGGAUAGGAGCUCCUGCUGCAUGGUGGGGGUUGGAAAGUUUCGGCGGUUGGGGAUGGACUCGCGGCUUAUCAGCUUGUUGGUGGGGUAGUGGCUUACCAAGGCUUUGACGGGUAGCCGGCCUGAGAGGGUGACCGGCCACUUUGGGACUGAGAUACGGCCCAGACUCCUACGGGAGGCAGCAGUGGGGAAUAUUGCACAAUGGGCGGAAGCCUGAUGCAGCAACGCCGCGUGCGGGAUGACGGCCUUCGGGUUGUAAACCGCUUUCGCCUGUGACGAAGCGUGAGUGACGGUAAUGGGUAAAGAAGCACCGGCUAACUACGUG